UGGGGAAUCUUGGACAAUGGGCGCAAGCCUGAUCCAGCCAUGCCGCGUGAGUGAAGAAGGCCUUCGGGUUGUAAAGCUCUUUUACCAGGGACGAUAAUGACGGUACCUGGAGAAUAAGCCCCGGCAAACUUCGUGCCAGCAGCCGCGGUAAUACGAAGGGGGCUAGCGUUGUUCGGAAUUACUGGGCGUAAAGCGCACGUAGGCGGAUUGUUAAGUCAGAGGUGAAAUCCCGGAGCUCAACUUCGGAACUGCCUUUGAUACUGGCAAUCUAGAGUCCGGAAGAGGUUAGUGGAAUUCCCAGUGUAGAGGUGAAAUUCGUAGAUAUUGGGAAGAACACCAGUGGCGAAGGCGGCUAACUGGUCUGGUACUGACGCUGAGGUGCGAAAGCGUGGGGAGCAAA
rnacentral:rRNA from 1 species